ensembl:lncRNA
CGCUAGGGAGAUCCUCAGAGCUCUGCAGCGGAGAGAGAGACAACAUGGAGAAGGAGGAGGAGGAGGGAGGCGCGAGAAGGACCAGGCAGGAGACUCCUUGAGGAGUGACGCAUAUACAUAUGAGUAGUGUAAGGGGUAUAUCCGUUUUUUUUCUAUACAGUGCGUGCGUCUCUCCGUCUAUCAAUUUCAAGGCGGUUUAUUGGCAUAACAAAAUCUCAUGAUAAUGAUGCCGAGGCAAAGAUUAAUAUUCUUUAAAACGUCGUAAUUUCAGCAUGG